AUACACAUUAAAGGGACAUCAUGUCAUAGUAGAGAUAUUGCUUGAUAAAGGAGCAAAUAAAAUGAUACGUAACAAUGAGAACCAGUACCCGUACGACUUGGGAUCAAAGCAUCCUGAAGUUGGACGUCUUUUAAAGACUGUGUCUGGCAUCAACGGGGAUGAGUAUGGUGACAAAAACUAUUCCGAUUAAUUUUUUACUUUUAUUUUUAUUAUUAGUAUAUUUUGUGUUUGUAGUUCAUUAUCAUUUUUUGUAUCAUUAUUAUGUUUAUUGCAAAUAAAAUAACAGUUGUAGGAGUGUCUGAUAGAAUCAAUUUGAGUUAUAAACAAAGAUGAAUAUGAUAGAUCUACUUGUUCCUUUGAUGGUAACCUUCUUAUCUGUAGGUUUCACUGUGGCUCAAUGUCCUCCUGAUGUCGUCUCUUUUUUUAUUUUAAAUGAUAGAACCAUCCAUGUUCCAUUGACAGAGCCAUUAUGCCUUCAAUGUAGGUUCUUUACUAAUGAAGGCAACUUUUUUACCUUUUCUGAUGGUGUAUGGAGGAAGGGCAGUACUGUACUGAAUGAUGGGAACUUUAAUGGAAAUGUUAAUCUAUCAAGUACUUCUGAUACUAUGCGUAUGACCCUGGAGUAUCCUGAUGAUGUUGUUAAUGUUGGUGAUACUAUAACAUGCUCAUCAU